GCUUGCCUCCACAAGUAAGGUGACCAGAUUACAUGAACAAAAUAUUGGGACACAUAGGGGGCAGGUCCGGAGCGCCGCCGAAGCAAAUAUAUAAGCCAGAAUAUGGGACAAAUGGCUUCCCGACCAUACAUCCAUCGGGACGUGGGACAAACGACUGAAUAUCGGGACGUCUAGUCACCCUA